rnacentral:rRNA from 1 species
GACGAACGCUGGCGGCGUGCCUAAUACAUGCAAGUCGAACGCAGUGGGGACGGGUGAGUAACACGUGGGUAACCUCCCAUCAGAGGGGAUAACACUUGGAAACAGGUGCUAAACCGAUACUGCUCUAUGGACCCGCGGUGCAUUAGCUAGUUGGUGAGGUAACGGCUCACCAAGGCCACGGUGCAUAGCGGAGCUGAGAGGGUGAUCGGCCACACGGGGACUGAGACACGGCCCAGAGUCCUACGGGAGGCAGCAGUAGGGAAUCUUCGGCAAUGGACGAAAGUCUGACCGAGCAACGCCGCGUGAGUGAAGAAGGUUUUCGGAUCGUAAAACUCUGUUGUUAGAUAAGCGGUAGCUAAACAGAAAGCCACGGCUAACUACGUGCCAGCAGACGCGGUAAGAG